rnacentral:rRNA from 1 species
UGCGAAGGGGGCUAGCGUUGCUCGGAAUCACUGGGCGUAAAGCGCACGUAGGCGGAUUGCUAAGUCAGGGGUGAAAUCCUGGAGCUCAACUCCAGAACUGCCUUUGAUACUGGCAACCUUGAGUCCGGGAGAGGUGAGUGGAACUGCGAGUGUAGAGGUGAAAUUCGUAGAUAUUCGCAAGAACACCAGUGGCGAAGGCGGCUCACUGGCCCGGUACUGACGCUGAGGUGCGAAAGCGUGGGGAGCAAACAGG